rnacentral:rRNA from 1 species
AUUGAACGCUGGCGGAAUGCUUUACACAUGCAAGUCGAACGGCAGCACGGACUUCGGUCUGGUGGCGAGUGGCGAACGAGUGAGUAAUGUAUCGGAACGUGCCCAGCCGUGGGGGAUAACGUAGUGAAAAUUACGCUAAUACCGCAUACGAUCUAUGGAUGAAAGCGGGGGAUCGCAAGUCCUCGCGCGAUUGGUGCGGCCGAUAUCAGAUUAGGUAGUUGGUGGGGUAAAGGACCACCAAGCCAACGAUCUGUAGCUGGUCUGAGAGGACGACCAGCCACACUGGAAAUGAGACACGGUCCAGACUCCUACGGGAGGCAGCAGUGGGGAAUUUUGGACAAUGGGCGAAAGCCUGAUCCAGCCAUGCCGCGUGCAGGAUGAAGGCACUCGGGUUGUAAACUGCUUUUGUACAGAACGAAAAGGUUUCUACUAAUACUAGGAGCUCAUGACGGUACUGUAAGAAUAAGCACCGGCUAACUACGUGCCAGCCGCCGCGGUAA